UAUUUUUUUUAAAUAUGUAAGUAUUGAAAUAAGAUGGAUUUAUUGUUCAAAAGUGCAAAUAAAAUAUUUCUACUUCCCAUCAAUUUUCUACAAGUUUCUAAAAAGGUAGGUAUUUGUUUUAUUGUGUUUUAUCAAAAAAAUAUUAAUUUCCAAAAUAAAAUACUGCUACUGUUACUUGUUACUAUUGCUAAUACAUGGCUUUAAUGUACUGGAAAAAAAAAAUUGGUACUGGACCUUAGAUUUAAAAUUGCUUACAUUUUUUAGUACUAAUUUAUUAAAUUCCUUGGUAAUCAAAUUAUCAAUAUUUUCAAAAU